rnacentral:lncRNA from 1 species
UAAGCCUUUGCUUUGGGAUAUGAUGGGAAAAUCUUACAGGUACACAUGGCAGAGUAAGACAUGAUCAUAGUUGAAAGUGAAGACAAUCUAAUCAGAAAGCUUUAAUAUUUGUCAGCUAACGUUGAGGCUCAAGUCAUGAGUGGUACAUGCAGGAAGGCUGAAAGGGAUCGUAAUUAGUAUUCCUCUCCUUGUUUAUCCUCUCCUACUGAAGAAUCCACACCAACCUCCUCAUAACCCUUCUCAAAAGCAACCAUGUCCUCACAGGCCUCAGAAAAUUCCCCUUCCUCCGUGCCAUCACCCACCUACUAGCGAACAAAGGGACACUUGGCGUUCACCAGGUCAUACUUGUGGUCCAGGCGAGCCCAGGCCUCAGCAAUGGCUGUGGUGUUGCUCAGCAUACACACAGCUCACUGUACUUGGGC